rnacentral:rRNA from 1 species
GAGGGCUUCGGCUCUCUAGUAAAGUGGCGGACGGGUGCGUAACACGUGGGUAAUCAACCUUCCAGCGGGGGACAACCGUCCGAAAGGAUGGCUAAUACCGCGUACGUCGGCGAGGGCUCCGGUCCUUGUCGGGAAAGACGGCCACUCCUUGGAAGCUGUCACUGGAAGACGAACCCGCGGCCCAUCAGCUAGUUGGUGAGGUAACGGCUCACCAAGGCAAAGACGGGUAGCUGGUCUGAGAGGAUGAUCAGCCACACUGGGACUGCGACACGGCCCAGACUCCUACGGGAGGCAGCAGUGGGGAAUAUUGGGCAAUGGGCGAAAGCCUGACCCAGCCACGCCGCGUGAGUGAUGAAGGCCUUCGGGUCGUAAAGCUCUGUGGGGGGGGACGAACAAGCCUGGGAUUAACACCCCCGGGAUCUGACGGUACCUCCUUAGCAAGCACCGGCUAACCCUGUGCCAGCAGCCGCGGUAAUACAGGGGGUGCAAACGUUGCUCGGAAUUAUUGGGCGUAAAGCGCGCGUAGGCGGCUACUUAUGUCGGAUGUGAAAGCCCUUGGCUCAACUGAGGAAGUGCACCCGAAACUGAGUGGCUGGAGUACGAAAGAGGGUCGCGGAAUUCCCGGUGUAGAGGUGAAAUUCGUAGAUAUCGGGAGGAACACCGGUGGCGAAGGCGGCGACCUGGGUCGAUACUGACGCUGA